GACGAACGCUGGCGGCGUGCUUAACACAUGCAAGUCGAACGGAAAGGCCCUGCUUUUGUGGGGUGCGCGAGUGGCGAACGGGUGAGUAACACGUGAGUAACCUGCCCUUGACUUUGGGAUAACGUCAGGAAACUGGGGUUAAUACCGGAUAGGAGCUCCUGCUGCAUGGUGGGGGUUGGAAAGUUUCGGCGGUUGGGGAUGGACGCGCGGCUUAUCAGCUUGUUGGUGGGGUAGUGGCUUACCAAGGCUUUGGCGGGUAGCCGGCCUGAGAGGGUGACCGGCCACAUUGGGACUGAGAUACGGCCCGGCCUGCUACGGGAGGCAGCAGGGGGGAAUAAUGCACAAUGGGCGGAAGCCUGAUGCAGCAACGCCGCGUGCGGGAUGACGGCCUUCGGGUUGUAAGCCGAUUUCGCCUGUGACGAAGCGUGAGUGACGGUAAUGGGUAAAGAAGCACCGGCUAACUACGUG
rnacentral:rRNA from 1 species